GCGAGUGCGUCCCCACCAGCCUGGCCGCCGCGGGAACUCGGGGACCGGGAGGGCGGGGGUUAGCGGGAGGAAAGGGUAAGCUGAAGAGGGGCUGGGAACGGGAGGGAGGCUCGGGGCGAACGGGCCGUCGCGUUCAUUUCCAUAAGAAAGCUGAAAUCGCAGUUGGAAGCAGGAUUUCUCGCCCCUGCAGCCCUUCCCCCAUACCCGGUUUUCUGCAAGAAGCGGGCUCCAGAGCUCAGAGCCCGAAGUGUGUGCUCUGGUCUUUGAUGAUGUUGAUAAAAUGUGGUUUCAAAUGUUGUCCCGAAGAGGCCGGUUUCCUGUCUGUAUGUGGAAUGGAAGGACCGUGCCGGGGCACCAAGAGGCACCCUGAGAACUCAGAGGACCCAGAGGCUCCCCUCAAGCAAAUUCCCUGCUGACCCUGGACACCCCUUGAAGGAGGGGGCAAGAGGCUGCCACAAGGCUCAUCUUAUAACUCCCAGCAAGGACUCCCAGCAAACAAGAGACCCACAUCACUCAGUUCCCAGGACACCUGGUGGGAGAGUCUGGUGAGAUUUGGAGGCAGACUUCCUCUACUCACAACUUGUUUGAAAAUGGACAUAAAGAGAAGAACAGACACUCCAUCGCCCCUUCAGGGCCUCCUUUGUGUCACAAAACCUAUCCCCUCCUAGGGCACCCUUGACAUUCCCCUAGGUGGGCCUACACAUUGUUCAGAACCUGUCCCCUGUACCAAAAUAAAUAUAAAUGAGUUUGUUUCUUUAAAA
ensembl:lncRNA LINC01159 long intergenic non-protein coding RNA 1159